rnacentral:rRNA from 1 species
AUGAGUAAAGUCACAGUCCAUGUCGGACUCUCGAGCCUCGGCGACAGGUUCUACCUCGGGAUCUGGUACAAGAACAUCCCCGUCCAGACCGUUGUCUGGAGCUUCGACCAUCCGACGGACACGCUGGUGCCUGAAGCGUGGGUCGAGGAGAACAAGCUCACCGGCGAGUAUCAGGCGCUGACGUCGUGGCGGAACGCCCAAGACCCCGCGCCCGGGAUGUUCUACAACACGGUGGACCCCAACGGCACCAGCGAAUUCUUCUUGAUGUGGAACAGGUCCCGCACGUACUUUCGGACCGGCAUCUGGACGGGGCGCAUCUUCGCGACCGCGACGGAGGCGAUGAGGACCAUGCUCACCAUGAACACGACGUACGUCGAGACGCCGGCGUACCGGCGCCUCACCAACAGCUGGCAACCCUUCUGGACUGCACCCGCCGUGCAGUGCAACGUGUACGCGCUCUGCGGCGCGUUCGGCGUCUGCGAUCAGAGGAGCCAGCUGCCAUGCCGGUGCCCGCCCGGGUUCGUUCCAGUGUCGGAGGGGGACUGGGUGCUUAGCGAUUGGAGCAGUGGCUGCCGGCGGAGCUCUCCGCUCACCUGCGCGCACAACGAGUCGACGACCGAUGGGUUCCUAGCGUUGCCAGACGUGAAGCUCCCCGACGACUCACUCGCCGUGGGCGCCGCCAAGAGCAAAGCAGAGUGCGAAUCGACUUGCCAAAAUAAUUGCUCUUGCCAGGCCUACGUCUUCGCUGCCGGGGGCGGGGGAUGCACUGUCUGGCAUGGAGAGAUCCGCAACCUUGAGCAGCUCUACGCUGAUUCCGGCGUCUCUGGCUCAGACCUCCAUCUCCGGCUUUCAGAAGCAGGAUUGCAAGAUCUUGGCGUCUCCGGCACAAACGGGAAGAAACGGGGGAGAACAUUAUGGCUUGUUCUUGGCGUCCCAUUGGCUGGUGUUGCAGCAUUCGGCGUGUUGGUAAUACUGGCCUGGAGGAUUCUCCUUGCUAGGAGAAGACGACUGGCAAACGAGAAGGGAUCCUCCUUGGUCGUGUACAAUUAUGGCGACCUUUGUGCCGCCACGAAGAACUUCUCAGAGUGGCUGGGCGGCGGCGGUUUUGGCUCGGUGUACCGCGGAGUCCUGAAGCAGCAGAAGGGAGACAAUACAACCCAGCUCCAGGUGGCAGUCAAGAAGCUGGAGAGCCUUGGGCGGCAGGGCGACAAGCAGUUCCGGACAGAGGUGAGCACGUUGGGCUGCAUCCAGCACGUGAACCUCGUCCGUCUCCUCGGGUUCUACUCGUCGGACGUCGAGAAGAUGCUCGUGUACGAGUACAUGCCAAGGGGCUCCCUCGACCGCUCUCUCUUCGGCGGGGGCGCAACCCUGAGCUGGCGUGAACGGGGGCCGUACGUCAGGGGAUCCGGCUCCGUGGGGAGAGGGUUGGCAUACCUGCACCACGGUUGUCAUGAGUGCAUCAUACACUGCGACAUCAAGCCGGAGAACAUCCUUCUGGACAAUGACAUGUCCCCGAGGAUCGCCGACUUCGGGAUGGCGAAGCUGGUGGGGAGGGACUUUAGCCGCGCGCUGACAACGAUGCGGGGCACCAUCGGGUACCUGGCUCCGGAGUGGAUCUCCGGGCAGCCCAUCAGCGCUAAGGCGGACGUGUACAGCUUCGGGAUGGUGCUAUUCGAGCUCAUCUCAGGCCGACGAAACUCCGAGGGAUACAGCGAGGUGGAGGCGACAGGGAGCGGGAGCAGUGAUUCGUGGACCUUCUUCCCUUAUGGGCUGCAGGGAAGGUGGUGGAAGGGGAGGUGGCCGCCGUGGCAGAGGAGACCUACAAGUCCAACAAAUCAAAGCUACAAACCGGCUAAAACGACAAGACAAGACACAAAAGGUUAA